CCGGGACCCCGCCGAGCGGCAGCACUUGGCUCCAUACCUAGGAUACAGCAGUUCCUCCAUCAAUAUACAAAAGAAUAAGAUUCAGAGAGAAAUGCAGAGGCCAGAGAUGGGGAACCACACAGCCCCAGGAGCCUCCGUUUCUGCCUGCUGGGUUCCAGCCCUGAAGAAGCUCAGCUGUCCACUGUCCAUGGAGGCACAGACACGUCAUUUAAAUUCCUUUACUUAAGGUGGCAUGAGGUCCUUUUUCUUUCUGGAGAGCUGGAAAUUUGCUUUUUCCCUCUUCAAAAGAAAGGCUGCAGCGAGCCUCAUGGGCUGGGUGUGGUGGCUUAUGCCUGUAAUCCCAGCACUUUGUGGGGCUAAAGCAGGAGGAUCACUUGAGCCCAGGAGUUCGAGACCAGCCUGGGCAACAUAGUGAGACACCCCCAUCUCUACAAAAAAUAAAUAAACACAAUUAGCCAGUUGUGGUGGUACACACCUGUGGUCCCUGCUUUUUGGGAGGCUGAGGUGGGAGGAUCACUUGAGCUCAGGAAGUCAAGGCUGCAGUGAGUCAAGAUCACGCCACUACAUUCCAGCCUGAGCAACAGAGUGAGACCCUAUCUCAAAAAACAAAAAGCAAAACAAAGGAACAAAAAAGCCCUCAAGGCCUUUCAUUUAAUAGCAAGGGUAAUAACAAACACUCAUAGAGUCUAUCUGUAAAACAUUCAUUUAAAGACCACUCAUUUAAUCUUCAUGACCAGCCCCUGAGGGGGAUAUGGUGAUAGCCUCCUCAUUGUUCAGGUGAGAAUCUGGAGGUAGGUGUGGACUUGGCACAGAACUGGGAAGUAGCGAAGGUCAGAUUCAAAACCUGGGUAGUCCAGCUCCAAAGUCCAUUGCCGAACCAUUAUACUGGUUGCAACGCCCUGCCCCAAGUGUAGCAUAAAAGUGUUUGUAGAAUAGACAUAAGAGACAUGGAGUAGCUGAGUGUUAGGAGAAGGCUUGCUCCCCAUUCCCUUUUUCUUCUUUGAGUCUGCCCUCCCCGCAACAACUGCUGAGGCUUUGCCCCUUUGCUGGCUGGGCCCUAGAAGAGAUGGAAUGACUCACUGGAUUAAUACAUUUGGGAAG
rnacentral:lncRNA from 1 species